UUAUCCAUCUGACAUAUUCUGAUUCUUGGUUAUUGAAAGAAUUUACUCAGAAAUGAAACUACGAGAGACUCAGGUGAGAAGAAUGAGGAAAAAGAUUCAACUGUGUACAUCGGAAACUUCUACCCAGAAAUUCUAUGAACCUAAGUGAUUGAAAGUGAUGUAUUUGGAGUUCUGAAAUUUGGCGACUGAUAGAAAAUUUGGGAGUAAAAGAACUGGAUUUCUUAUGUUCUUACUGAGUGAAGAGUAGAGGUGCCUUUGGUUUCGAUAGGCGGGCUACGACGUUUAAGGUUUGAGUGACAGGUAACAUUGAUGUACGUGGAGUUGACUUGGGCGAAUGGGAGUUUAACGUUUGGGUCGAGUAAAGGGUUUUAACUUGUGUAUAGAAAGGUAACUGCCGGUAACUUUUUGGGAGCAGAUCUGUGUAGGUAGAACUUGGGAGUGAUGUACUUUUGUGUGUAAGUGAUGUACUAACUAAUGUAUAAUGCAUAACUAUCUAUCUCAAACUCUUUGUAUGUAAAUAGUUAGUAAUGUACUGAAGAUAGUUAUCUUGGGUCCAGAUCUGUUUACUCUUGUGCUGUUUUUA